rnacentral:rRNA from 1 species
CAACUGGGGGAUCGCUCGGCUCGAGUGCCGAUGAAGGUCGUGACAAGCUGCGAUAAGCUGCGGGGAGGUGCAUGA